rnacentral:rRNA from 1 species
GACGAACGCUGGCGGCGUGCCUGACACAUGCAAGUCGGACGGUUCUUGUACCUUCAAGCUUGCUUGUUGGUGCAAGGAUAGUGGCGGACGGGUGAGUAACGCGUGAACAUCUACCCAUUGGAGGGGGACAACCCGUCGAAAGGCGGGCUAAUACCGCGUAAGCCGCGAGGUGAGAGGCUGCCUAUUGGUGGCCGCCGAUGGAUGGGUUCGCGUCCUAUCAGCUGGUUGGUGGGGUAACGGCCUACCAAGGCGAAGACGGGUAGCCGGUCUGAGAGGAUGGCCGGCCACACUGGAACUGAGACACGGUCCAGACUCCUACGGGAGGCAGCAGUGGGGAAUAUUGGACAAUGGAUGGAAAUCUGAUCCAGCCAUGCCGCGUGCAGGAAGACGGCCCUAUGGGUUGUAAACUGCUUUUAUAUGGGAGCAAUAAGGUUUACGCGUAGACCGAUGAGAGUACCAUAUGAAUAAGCAUCGGCUAACUCCGUGCCAGCACG